rnacentral:ncRNA from 1 species
AAAAAAAUUAUUAUAGUUUAAUUAUUUUAUUAUAAAUUUAUUUUACAUAUAAAUUUUAGUGUUAUUAUUUAAUUUAUUUAAAAAAUAAAUUAAUUAUUUAAGUAGUAAUUAAUAUUAAAUUAUUUAAGAAAUUAAGAUUUAGUAAUAUUUAAAUUAAUAACAAAUUUUGUGCCAGCAGUUGCGGUUACACAAAAAUUAAAUUAAAUUUUAUUAGAUAUUAAUAAAUAUUAUUUUUUAUAUAAUUGAAAUUUUAAAUUAUUAAGUGAAAUUUUAAUUUAAUAAAAUUUUAUUGUUAUAAUUAUUAUUUAAUAAAUUUUACAAAAAACUAGGAUUAGAUACCCUAUUAUAAAAAUUUAAAUUUAAAUACUAAAAAAGUAAAUAAUUAUUUAUUGAAACUUAAAUAAUUUGGCGGUAUUUUAGUUCAUUUAGAGGAAUCUGUUUAAUAAUUGAUAAUCCACGAAUAAAUUUACUUAAUUUAUAAUUUUGUAUAUCGUUGUUAAAAAAAUAUUUUUUUAUAAAAUUAAUAUUUUAAAAUUAAUAAAAUAAAUUAAAUCAGAUCAAGAUGCAGAUUAUAGUUAAGAAUAUAAUGGAUUACAAUAAAUUUAUUUAAAUGAAUGUUAGUUUGUAACAAUUAAUUGAAAGUGGAUUUAAAUGUAAUUUUAUUUAAUUUAAUAAAAUGAUUAAAAAUUGAAAUAUGUACAUAUUGCCCGUCGCUUUCAUAUAUUAAUAAGUUGAAAUAAGUCGUAACAAAGUAGAGGUACUGGAAAGUGUUUCUAGAAAGAC